UGGGGAAUAUUGCACAAUGGGCGCAAGCCUGAUGCAGCCAUGUCGCGUGUAUGAAGAAGGCCUUCGGGUUGUAAAGUACUUUCAGCGGGGAGGAAGGCGAUAAGGUUAAUAACCUUGUCGAUUGACGUUACCCGCAGAAGAAGCACCGGCUAACUCCGUGCCAGCAGCCGCGGUAAUACGGAGGGUGCAAGCGUUAAUCGGAAUUACUGGGCGUAAAGCGCACGCAGGCGGUCUGUCAAGUCGGAUGUGAAAUCCCCGGGCUCAACCUGGGAACUGCAUUCGAAACUGGCAGGCUAGAGUCUUGUAGAGGGGGGUAGAAUUCCAGGUGUAGCGGUGAAAUGCGUAGAGAUCUGGAGGAAUACCGGUGGCGAAGGCGGCCCCCUGGACAAAGACUGACGCUCAGGUGCGAAAGCGUGGGGAGCAAACA
rnacentral:rRNA from 1 species